AUUGAACGCUGGCGGCGUGCUUAACACAUGCAAGUCGAGCGGUAACAGGCGUAGCAAUACGUGCUGACGAGCGGCGAACGGGUGAGUAAUGCUUCGGAAUCUGCCCAGUAGUGGGGAAUAACCUGGGGAAACUCAAGCUAAUACCGCAUACGAACUAAGGUUGAAAGCAGGGGAUCGCAAGACCUUGCGCUAUUGGAUGAGCCGAAGUCGGAUUAGCAGUUGGUGAGGUAAUGGCUCACCAAGGCGACGAUCCGUAGCUGGUCUGAGAGGACGACCAGCCACACUGGAACUGAGACACGGUCCAGACUCCUACGGAGGCAGCAGUGGGGAAUAUUGGACAAUGGGGCAACCCUGAUCCAGCGACGCCGCGUGUGUGAAGAAGG
rnacentral:rRNA from 1 species